rnacentral:tRNA from 1 species
GGAUUGUGGCUCAGCGGUAGAGCGCUCACCUCACACGGGCGGGACCCGGGUUCGAUCCUUAGCACCA